CCUACGGGAGGCAGCAGUGAGGAAUAUUGGUCAAUGGGCGCGAGCCUGAACCAGCCAAGUCGCGUGAGGGAGGACGGCCCUACGGGUUGUAAACCUCUUUUGCCGGGGAGCAACGGGCGCCACGUGUGGCGUCACUGAGAGUACCCAGAGAAAAAGCAUCGGCUAACUCCGUGCCAGCAGCCGCGGUAAUACGGAGGAUGCGAGCGUUAUCCGGAUUUAUUGGUUUUAAAGGGUGCGUAGGCGGAUCGUUAAGUCAAUGGUAAAAUUGAGGGGCUCAACCCCUUCCCGCCAUUGAAACUGGCGUGCUUGAGUGGAAGAGAAGUAUGCGGAAGGCGUGGUGUAGCGGUGAAAUGCAUAGAUAUCACGCAGAACCCCGAUUGCGAAGGCAGCAUGCCGGCUUCCGACUGACGCUGAAGCACGAAAGCGUGGGGAUCGAACAGGAUGAGAUACCCUUGUAGUC
rnacentral:rRNA from 1 species